GUGGAGGUAGAAGGCCUACGGGUCAUGAACUUCUUUUCCCUGAGAAGAAGCAAUGAUGAUGUCUGGAGAAUAAGCAUCAACUAACUUUGUGCCAGUAACCACAGUAAGGCAGAGGAUGC